rnacentral:rRNA from 1 species
UGGGGAAUAUUGGGCAAUGGGGGAAACCCUGACCCAGCGACGCCGCGUGAGGGAAGAAGGUUUUCGGAUUGUAAACCUCUGUCUUCGGGGACGAAUAAUGACGGUACCCGAGGAGGAAGCCACGGCUAACUACGUGCCAGCAGCCGCGGUAAUACGUAGGUGGCAAGCGUUGUCCGGAAUUACUGGGUGUAAAGGGAGCGUAGGCGGGUAUGCAAGUCAAAUGUUAAAUUCACAGGCUCAACCUGUGACCGCGUUUGAAACUGCGUAUCUUGAGUGAAGUAGAGGCAGGCGGAAUUCCUAGUGUAGCGGUGAAAUGCGUAGAUAUUAGGAGGAACACCAGUGGCGAAGGCGGCCUGCUGGGCUUUUACUGACGCUGAGGCUCGAAAGCAUGGGGAGCAAACA